UGUGAUGAUUCAAAGGUCACAGUGUGUAA
rnacentral:piRNA from 1 species